AGUGAACGCUGGCGGUAGGCCUAACACAUGCAAGUCGAACGGCAGCACAGUAAGAGCUUGCUCUUACGGGUGGCGAGUGGCGGACGGGUGAGGAAUACAUCGGAAUCUACUUUUUCGUGGGGGAUAACGUAGGGAAACUUACGCUAAUACCGCAUACGACCUACGGGUGAAAGCAGGGGAUCUUCGGACCUUGCGCGAUUGAAUGAGCCGAUGUCGGAUUAGCUAGUUGGCGGGGUAAAGGCCCACCAAGGCGACGAUCCGUAGCUGGUCUGAGAGGAUGAUCAGCCACACUGGAACUGAGACACGGUCCAGAACCCUACGGGAGGCAGCAGUGGGGAAUAUUGGACAAUGGGCGCAAGCCUGAUCCAGCCAUACCGCGUGGGUGAAGAAGGCCUUCGGGUUGUAAAGCCCUUUUGUUGGGAAAGAAAAGCAGCAGGUUAAUACCCCGCUGUUCUGACGGUACCCAAAGAAUAAGCACCGGCUAACUUCGUG
rnacentral:rRNA from 1 species